GUUUUGUAUAUUAUAUAGAUUGAUAAAACAUCUAUUUGUUUGUUACAUGCAAAUUAAAAAAAUAUGAUUAAAAUUUUCAACUUAGUUUAUUUUUUUAUUUUUGUCCAUUCUCUAUUUCUCAGUUUAAUUGAAGCCUACGGCACUAAUUGUACUACUAUCAUUGAGUGUGCAAUUAAUCGAUGUAUUUUCCCUGCAACACCAUGGUGCCUGGAAGAUAAAUGUAUAUGCCUUUAAUAGACUAGUGUAAGAUAACACUGGAUAAAUGUUUUAGUUCCAAACAACUAGUUGUCUUAUAUACUAUUUUAUCUAAAUAAAUUAAUACAAUUUUACUAAAUUGACCAUUAUAAUAUAUAAUGGAUGUAUGUAUUAUGUAAUAUACAUAGCGUGUAAUGUACUUUUUUUUUUUUUUUUUUUUGAAUAAA